GAAAAACCCUAAUACACAAGGCCCUCUCGCUUAUAUAUAUAAAGUGCGAGCUAGACCUUACAAUAGAAGCCUCGGCGGCGUACUAAACCUCUCAGCUUUCCGUAAGCUUGCCUCACUCUUACUCUCCUUGAGCUUCUCAGCACACGGUUUUAAGUUCCUCCCUAUGUAUGACAGAGGGUGAUUGAAUUUUUUUUGCAGGAGGUAAGUAAAAAUGGCGGUGCCGUUGCUGUCGAAGAAGAUCGUAAAGAAGAGGGUCAAGAAGUUCAAGAGGCCACAGAGU
rnacentral:misc_RNA from 1 species